GCCUCUCCCCGCUCCAGUCCGGACUUCCCCCUGCUGCCCGGAUCGUUUUUCUCCAGAGACGUUCGGUCCCCGUUUCCUCUCUCCUCGAGAACCUCCGGCGGUUGCCCGUCCACUCCCCCAGCGGACGAAAACACCUCACCGUGGGCUUUAACACCUCGCCGUGGGCUUCAAAGGCCUCCGACCCCAGACCCCCUCCGACCUCACCUCGCCGCUCCCCUACACCGACCCGGCCCGCGCGUUUCGCCCCGCUAAUGCUCACUGGGCCUCCGUCUCGUCCGUCUCGCGGCCGACCCCCUCAUCGCCUUGUAUCCUCCCAGCGCUUAGGACGGUGCUUUGCGCAUAACUUGAGCUCGUCGUGUGCGGGGAACGAACGCGUCCGUUGGGUAUCGCGUCGUCCUCUUCCAAGCGUACGCUGCCUCGCCCGCGGGCGGCGCCGGAUGAGGGAACUGAGGCCCCCGAGAGGGGAAGUGACUCGCCUAAGGUCACCCAGCUGAUAAGCGGACACGGGGGCUGUGCCGGGGCUCAUCUCUACCCCCAGAGUUUUUAGUACGGUGCCUGACGCCUGAUGUGCUCUUAGAAAAUACCGUAAAAAUGCAAAGAGGGAGUCCGGACUGCGGAGACGUUUGAAGGCACAGUCAGAAAACAGGAAGUCGUCGUGCUUCCGACUCCCGGGCCCCGGGCUCUAGCCACCAAAUGGCGGCGCGGCCGGACCGAACGCGGUCACGUUCAACCACGCCUACCGUCUCCGGUCACCCGAGAGAGUCUCCUUCACUGAAGCGAGGUGGCUGGGGGACGGUCACGCCGGCCCAGAAACCGAACGGCUCGGAGGGAGCUGUCGGGCGAGCCGGGACCGCCGCCAGGCCCAGGCCGCUGGGCUUCCAGCGCCGGGCUCUGAGCGCCGGGGCCGGUACCGGCCGAUCGGGUUUGGACGCCGUCCCCGUCCCACGUGGGGCUCACCGUCUUCAUCCCCAUUUGGCGGAUGAGGGGACCGAGGCCCGGAGGAGCGAGACGACUCAGCCGAGGGCGCAAGGCGAGACGGGAUGGGAAGCCGGGUCCUCGCGACGGCCCAGGCCCGGCCUCUGGCCGCGCCGCUCAGCACCGACCGACGGUCCGUAACCGCGGAGACGAGACGCGUUGCCGUUCUGGGCUGGAAGCGUCCUCGCCGGUCUCAUCGAUUGCUUGGAUACGCUGGCGUAGCCUCCUCUCUUCCUCCGGAGAGCUCGUCUGUCCCUCGGGGGGCUCCAGGGGACGCCGGGAAAGAGACUGUUUUGGUCCCUCAGAACCCGCCGAUAGUAAACUCCCGGCGGAGUCUACCGGUUAUCUCGUCCUCUCCCGAGCGCUCGGCACACGGCAGGCGCUGGGUAAAUACCGCCGACUGACAGGCCGAAGGAUCGGACUCUUCAUUCCGAGCACACGGGGGUCGGCGUGAACUCCGCCGACCGUAAACUCCCCGAAUCUACCGAGUCUCGCAUUCUUCCGAGCGCUCGGUACCGUCUCGGUGCACGGCGAGCGCUCAAUAAAGUACCACUCAAGAG